rnacentral:tRNA from 1 species
GGAGGCGGAUAGGCUCUGGUGGGCCUUGCGGACUUCAAAUCCGUUGGCGGCGGUUAACCCGCCGCGGGGGGUUCGAUUCCCUCCCCCUCCGCCA